UAAAGCUACAAAGAGCUAAUGGGGAAUGCCUUGGUACUGACAGCCGAUGAAGGACGUGUAAAGCUGCGAUAAGCUGCGGGGAACUGCUAAAAGGUCUUGAUCCGCAGAAAUCCGAAUGGGGAAACCCUAUCAAGUUAAAACUUGAUAACUCACAAGUGAAUACAUAGCUUGUGUAGAGGAAAGCCUGUGAACUGAAACAUCUUAGUAACAGGACGAAGAGAAAAUAACCCAAUGAUUCCGAGAGUAGCGGCGAGCGAAAUUGGAAGAGCCUAAAUUGUGUGUACGUGAUAGCCUGCAAGCGUUGUGCACAUGAGGUUGUGGGACUUGCAUCAUAUUUUGCAGAAUAUGGAUUGAGUUACAAAAUUAUUUAUUAGUUAAAGUCAACUGGGAAGUUGCGCCAUAGAGAGUGAUAGCCUCGUAAACGACAAUAAAUAAUCUCAAGUAAGUAUCCCGAGUAAGGCGGGGCACGUGAAACCCUGUCUGAAUCCACCGGGACCAUCCGGUAAGGCUAAAUACUAGUCAGUGACCGAUAGUGAACGAGUACAGUGAUGGAAAGGCGAAAAGAACAGUGAGAAGCUGAGUGAAAUAGACCCUGAAACCGUUAGCUUACAACCAGUCAGAGCACAAUUAAUUGUGUUAUGGCGUGCCUGUUGAAGAAUGAGCCGGCGAGUUAUUUUUUGUUGCGAGGUUAAGGAGAUUAUAUCCGGAGCCACAGGGAAACCGAGUCUGAAUAGGGCGUUAAGUAACAGGAAAUAGACCCGAACCUUGGUGAUCUAACCUUGACCAGGAUGAAGCGUGGGUAACACUACGUGGAGGUCCGAACCAACCGAUGUUGAAAAAUCGGUGGAUGAGUUGAGGUUAGGGGUGAAAUGCCAAUCGAACCAAGAGCUAGCUGGUUCUCCCCGAAAUGCGUUUAGGCACAGCGUUGGAUUUAUCUUGCAGGAGGUAGAGCACUGGUUUUGUGCGGGCGUCGAAAUGAUGUACCAAACAAUGUCAAACUCCGAAUACCUGUAAUGUCAUUAUCCAGCAGUGAGGCUAUGAGUGAUAAGAUCCAUGGCCAAGAGGGAAACAGCCCAGAACGCCAGUUAAGGUCCCUAAUAUAUGCUAAGUGGUUAAGGAGGUAGAGUUACUGAGACAACCAGGAGGUUGGCUUAGAAGCAGCCAUCCCUUGAAAGAGUGCGUAAUAGCUCACUGGUCAAGUGACUCCGCGCCGAAAAUACACCGGGACUAAAGCAUAUAACCGAAGCUGCGUCAUAUAGUUUACUAUAUGGGUAGGGGAGCGUACUGUAGUAAGACGAAGCUAGAGUGAAAACACUAGUGGAUGAGGCAGUAGUGAGAAUGUCGGCAUAAGUAGCGAAAACAUUGGUGAGAAUCCAAUGCACCGAAAACCUAAGGUUUCCCACGGCAGGCUCGUCCGCGUGGGGUUAGUCGGAUCCUAAGCUCAGGCCAAACGGCGUAGGCGAUGGACAAUAGGUUGAUAUUCCUAUACUAUCUGAUAAUCGUUAUCAGAAGCGGAGGGACGCAAGAGGAUAAGCACGCAGUCGACUGGAAGAGACUGUAUAAGCGUGUAGCUAGGUUUGACAGGAAAAUCCGUCAAAUCGUUAAUGUGAGGCGUGAUGUGGAGAGUCUACGGACUCGAAGGUGUUGACUCCAAAUUGCCAAGAAAAUCUUCGCUCUCGAGAUUAUUGGGUAUCCGUACCGUAAACCGCCACAGGUAGGUUGGUAGAAAAUACUAAGGUGCGCGAGACAACUCUCGCUAAGGAACUCGGCAAAAUCACCUCGUAACUUCGGGAGAAGAGGUACCCUGGUAGCGUGAAGCGAUUUACUCGUGAAGCGUGAUAGGGUCGCAGUGAAUAGGCCCAAGCGACUGUUUACCAAAAACACAGGUCUCUGCUAAGUCGAUCAAGACGAUGUAUAGGGGCUGACGCCUGCCCGGUGUCGGAAGGUUACGCGGAAAUGUUAGAAGCAAUUCAAAGCAUCGAAGCUAAGCCCCGAUGAACGGCGGCCGUAACUAUAACGGUCCUAAGGUAGCGAAAUUCCUUGUCAGGU
rnacentral:rRNA from 1 species